rnacentral:rRNA from 1 species
AAAAUACAAUCCUACGGUAGUCUGGCCUGGAUAGCCUCGGUAUCCCGCAGACCGCAGUCAUGCCAUACAGACUUGCCGGCGAAUCACGAAUCUCGUCCCAAGUUCAGUACUCGCAUAGCCUUCUUCCCACCGAGCAGCCCCUCACGAACCCUAGCUUGCUAAACCCUACUCCUUCCCUUCCCCGAUGGAUCCGCAGCAACCGGAGCCUGUCAGCUAUCUGUGCGGAGGUGAUCUCCCUCUCUCGUUCGUUUUUUCUUUUCUGGAAUUUGUCGACCACGAAUCGCUUUCCUCCCCGCAGAAAAAAAGGGGGACGAGUCGGCGACGGUUUCUCGCUUGGGAACGCCAGCGAGGCUGCUGUUUUCGCCCUCCUCUGCUCGCUUCUCCGGCAGCGGGUCCCCCGUUCUCUCUUGGGCUGUUUCUAUAGGCGGGGUUAGUUUUUUGGAGUCGAGUGUCAAACC